rfam:Myotis davidii contig55410, whole genome shotgun sequence.
AGGCCUGGAGAGAGGCAGGGUCUGAUCCACAGCCUCCGUGGCAGCUAUUGAUCAGCCGUUGCCUCUCUUUCUCCA